GUCUACAGCCAUGCCACCCUGAACAAGCCCGAUCCCGUCUGAUCUCGGAAGCUAAGCAGGGUCAGGCCUGGUUAGUACAUGGAUAGGAGACCACCUAGAAAGACCAGGUGCUGUAGGUG
rnacentral:rRNA from 1 species